CCUACGGGUGGCUGCAGUGGGGAAUAUUGCACAAUGGGCGCAAGCCUGAUGCAGCCAUGCCGCGUGUGUGAAGAAGGCCUUCGGGUUGUAAAGCACUUUCAGCGGGGAGGAAGGCGUUAAGGUUAAUAACCUUGUCGAUUGACGUUACCCGCAGAAGAAGCACCGGCUAACUCCGUGCCAGCAGCCGCGGUAAUACGGAGGGUGCAAGCGUUAAUCGGAAUUACUGGGCGUAAAGCGCACGCAGGCGGUCUGUCAAGUCGGAUGUGAAAUCCCCGGGCUCAACCUGGGAACUGCAUUCGAAACUGGCAGGCUAGAGUCUUGUAGAGGGGGGUAGAAUUCCAUGUGUAGCGGUGAAAUGCGUAGAGAUCUGGAGGAAUACCGGGGGCGAAGGCGGCCCCCUGGACAAAGACUGACGCUCAGGUGCGAAAGCGUGGGGAGCAAACAGGAUUAAUACCCGGGUAGUC
rnacentral:rRNA from 1 species